rnacentral:rRNA from 1 species
AGAGUUUGAUCCUGGCUCAGAAGAACGCUGGCGGCAGGCUUACACAUGCAAGUCGAACGCCCCGCAAGGGGAGUGGCAGACGGGUGAGUAACGCGUGGGAACAUACCCUUUCCUGCGGAAUAGCUCCGGGAAACUGGAAUUAAUACCGCAUACGCCCUACGGGGGAAAGAUUUAUCGGGGAAGGAUUGGCCCGCGUUGGAUUAGCUAGUUGGUGGGGUAAAGGCCUACCAAGGCGACGAUCCAUAGCUGGUCUGAGAGGAUGAUCAGCCACAUUGGGACUGAGACACGGCCCAAACUCCUACGGGAGGCAGCAGUGGGGAAUAUUGGACAAUGGGCGCAAGCCUGAUCCAGCCAUGCCGCGUGAGUGAUGAAGGCCUUAGGGUUGUAAAGCUCUUUCACCGGAGAAGAUAAUGACGGUAUCCGGAGAAGAAGCCCCGGCUAACUUCGUGCCAGCAGCCGCGGUAAUACGAAGGGGGCUAGCGUUGUUCGGAAUUACUGGGCGUAAAGCGCACGUAGGCGGAUAUUUAAGUCAGGGGUGAAAUCCCAGAGCUCAACUCUGGAACUGCCUUUGAUACUGGGUAUCUUGAGUAUGGAAGAGGUAAGUGGAAUUCCGAGUGUAGAGGUGAAAUUCGUAGAUAUUCGGAGGAACACCAGUGGCGAUAGCGGCUUACUGGUCCAUUACUGACGCUGAGGUGCGAAA